CCUCUGUUUCCUUCAUGCUGUUUCUGCUUUUCUUUGGGACAAGCACUCUAAAGCAUCUGGGUUAACCUGCAUCAGCCCCAUUGUCUAAGGCAGAAAGUGUAAGCACGGGUGCUCCACAGGCUGCAGUUCCUGCCAGAAAACCUGCUUCUGCGUGGGCUCCUCUCCACAGGCCGCAGCUCCUGGCAGGAGCCUGCUCCAGCUUGGGCUCUCCAAUGGCUGCAGCUUCCUUCAGGGCAUAUCCACCUGCUCCAGCAUGGGGUCCUCCACAGGCUGCAUUGCCUGAUAUCUGCCUACCUAUCUACCUUGUGUCAUUAAGAAAACAAAUGCUCCUACCUCUACAUACCUUCGACAUGACCAUCCUUAUCUGCUGCUGAGGUAAAGACCGCUAAUAUUGAUUUUAAAAUAAUAGAAAACAGAUGAGAAAAAAUGUAUGAAAUAUACAUUAACAUGUGGCUUAUUAACAUUCUUUAACUUUCAUUAACAGGCUUGGGACUUUUAUUCUAUUUUCAGUGGAAGGUAUACCUCAGAUAUUUGAGCAGGUCAGAAAAAUCCAGUCUGCUGUGGUUAUGAAACAUCAUAUUUAUACAUACAUCAAGUUUUCGGUGGAGAAUUGCAUUAACUGGAAACAAAUUAGCUAUGUAUCCUUUUAAGAAAAAACAUAAGCAUAGGGUUUUCCACAUACUACUAUAGUCUAUGUCCACAGCUCCCUUUGUACAAUUGCAUCCAAGGGUACAUUCCAGUAAAACAGAAAAUAAAUCAGGAUCUAUGAGACUGGGAAGGAAUACAAAUAACAUCCCUUUCAAACAGGGAUGUCAAAUCUAGUAAAAGGAACUUCAUGUUUUUCUAAAAGAAAGAUGCUCAUAUUAUUUAUCCCCUUCAAACACCUGUUGGCGUUGUGUGUUGUGGAGGAAGGGAGAAAUUAAUUAAAGGUCUGUGCAAGCCCAGGUAAGAAGAUGAUGUACAGAAGGACAUAAAUGGCAGCAAGAGACACAGUCAGCCACAUGAAAACCAUAUGCAGAGUUACAAUGCAUAUAGUAUGUUGGAAGGAAAACUGUGAAAGUUUUUGGAAGACAGUUUCCCAGUGAGACUAGGAAAGCAAAUCUGUGGUUAGUUAUAACUUUAGUCACCCAUAGUGCCCGUGACCUGAGUGGACCUUCAAAAUGUGAAGCCAAGAUGAAUGAAGUAACCAAAUUUUUUUCACUUGGCCAAAAGUGUAGCACUUCGCUUAGUGGGAUGGCACUUCAGGUGUGUUCAUGUCAUCUAAGCACAGGAAGCUAAAUUAGGAACCUAUAUAAGGAACCUCAAAUCCCUGUAUAGAUGGUGAAACUUCCAGGGAGAAAAAGAAAAGACUCAUAUUUUAACAACUGACUCCUCUCAUUUACUGGAAAAGAGACAAAAAAUUAAUCCUUGAAGUUCCUUCAAAUCUCGUUGCAUUCUUCAAAUCAGACUACCUCAUCAGAAAAUAUUCUUGUUCUUUAUGAAGGCAAGGCUGCAUUUUAGCUCAGUCUUCUGACCAACUUGAAUAAAAAACCCAAAGCACUUUCUCACAGUCCUUUUUCUUCCAGUUCUUCUAACAGUCAUCUGGUUUACAGAAUUCUUUCGGGCUCUACUUUGUGUUAUUUACUGGUAGACAGAUUUUCCUAAACUGAAUUAUGUUGCUGUGUCAGAUUUAAGUUUGAAAAGCAGAUGUGGGAAAAGAUAGAAAUGGAUGAUUUCUAGAUUCUGUCACAUCCAGGUAUUCAAAUAUGUGGGAAAGGGAUGGGAGAGGUAUUUCUG